AUGAACGCUGGCGGCGUGCCUAACACAUGCAAGUCGAACGGAGCGCGUGAGAGCGAACAUUUCGGUGGGAGCAUUCGCGCAGCUUAGUGGCGGACGGGUGAGUAACGCGUGGACAAUCUGCCGCGCACAGGGGAAUAACAGCCGGAAACGGCUGCUAAUGCCGCAUAUGCGCGCAGCGUCGCAUGACGCAGCGCGGAAAGCAAUUUGCGGUGCGCGAUGAGUCCGCGUCCGAUUAGGCAGUUGGCGGGGUGACGGCCCACCAAACCGACGAUCGGUAGCCGGCCUGAGAGGGCGGACGGCCACACUGGGACUGAGACACGGCCCAGACUCCUGCGGGAGGCAGCAGUGGGGAAUAUUGCACAAUGGGGGAAACCCUGAUGCAGCGACGCCGCGUGAAGGAAGAAGUAUCUCGGUAUGUAAACUUCUAUCGGCAGGGAAGAAAACGGACGGUACCUGACUAAGAAGCCCCGGCUAACUACGUG
rnacentral:rRNA from 1 species